rnacentral:tRNA from 1 species
UCAGUGGCCGAGUGGGUAACGCGAUGGCGUUUGAAGCGGAAGGUAUUGGGUUCGAGUUCCAGGGUGA